GACUCGCUGUGUGGCCUAGUGGUUAGAGCGUCCGCCUCGGAUGUUGGAGGUCGUAGGUUCGAUCCCCAGUUGAGUCA